GAUGAACGCUGGCGGCGUGCCUAAUACAUGCAAGUCGAGCGAACAGACGAGGAGCUUGUUCCUCGGACGUUAGCGGCGCACGGGUGAGUAACAUGUGGAUAAUCUACCUAUAAGACUGGGAUAACCUCGGGAAACCGGAGCUAAUACCGGAGAAUCUACUGAACCGCAGGGUGCAAUGGUGAAAGACGGCUUUUCGGUAACGUAUAGAUGGAUCCGCGCCGCAUUGGCGGGUUGGUAAGGUAAAGGCUUACCACGGCGACUAGGCUUAGCCGAACGGACUGGGGGAUCGGCCACCUUGGAGCUGAGACACGGUCCAGACUCCUACGGGAGGCCGCAGUAGGGAACCUUCCGCAAUGGGCGGAAGCCUUACGGAGCAGCGCCGCGUGAGUGAUGACGGUCUUCGGAUCGUAAAACUCUGUUAUUAGUGAAGAACAAAUGUGUAAGUAACUAUGCACGUAUUGACGGUACCUAGUCAGAAAGCCCCGGCUAACUACGUG
rnacentral:rRNA from 1 species